CCGGUGCGCGCACGCGCGCGCGCACACACAAUUUGACUUCUCGGCGGUUCCUGAAACACUCAGGCUAGAGGAAUUUUAAGAGCCUACACAACUCACUAAUGGGAGAGACCUCACUCAAGUGAUUUGCUACCACGUAUUGAAAGAAGUCGGGAUGAUGCCACAUUCCCAAGGGAUACCAGAAGAACUCAAUGAAGGAUCACUUUUAACGUUCAGUGUGUGUCUUCCAGACAGUGUUUGAAUGAGUUCUAUCCUUGGCCUUGAGGAACUCCAGACCACUGAAGAAAUGGGCAUGGGCAUCAGAAGAGAUUUGUGUCAUUUUGAUAGAUUUGA